UGCAACGAGUGCAAUAGGAACUCGGGAGGGGGGAAUGCGCUCGACCGUUGGCUGCGCGCUCAGAGGUCACAGUGGAGACAAACCCUUCAUGGACCGCGAGGCAUAGAGAGCCAAGGAUGGCAGGACACAGGGCUUUUGUAAUGGAGAACCUACAACUGAACACAUACACAUGCUGUAUAAAGAAAGAGAUAGAGAUCUGACACAUGGCCAUUGACGUGUGGGGAGAGGUGGAGAAGGCUGUGGGCUGACCACACGCAGAUGUCAUCCACCAGGCACUUGAUAUUCACAGUGAAAGCAGUCGUCAAUGAAAGAGCUGCAAUGAAGUGACAAGACUCUUCUCACAGCAAUGGAUAUCAUUUCACCUGCAGAGGAAAGCAUUCCUUUGCAGUAUUUUCUCAUUGGCUUCGGCACAUUUCCUGAAACAUUGUCAAAACAGUAUGUGCAUGUCUUGAAACAAUUUGUACAAACAGCAACACACAAUGGAUUAUCUGCAAAAACCCAUAAUUCACCCUAGUUGAAAGUUAUUAUUUAUGCAAAUGAAUUUGUCAGUGCAACCAGAAUGAAAAGCCCUUAUGCCAUUAUUUAGAAAGACUUGUGUAACAGAGUACCCUGGAAGUGUAUUCCUUAUUUCCAAAUAAGCAUUUUAUUGUCACAUCUUUAUGCUGAAUUUAUAUUCAUUUUAUUAUAUCAUCUUUAUGCUGAAUUCUAUUCAUGUCAUGCUAAUUUCAACACUGUUUCGAGUGGUUGUGGAGGAAUUUGGUAGAAGGAUGCAGAAAAGCACUUCAAAGAUACUGGACAUAACCCACAAUUACAACCAGUUGUAACAUUUUUGGGGAAUUCAUCUGGCGUGCCACAUAAACUCUUUAUGUAAUGUUACCAACUCAUGAGACCAGUGUUAAAAGACUUUUCAUCUUCAUUCAGAAAGACCUCCUUCAUUGGUUAUGUAAGAUGGAGAUAAAUAAACAAUGUAAUACAUGGA